AUGGCGACGACGACGUAUGUCGUCGACCGCGAGAGGGGAGCCCGGGCGCGGGCCGUUCCACCCGUCAUGAACCCGCGGCGGCAGCAAGUCGUGCUGCUCCUGGGCACCCUCACGGCAAGCUUCUCCUGCUCGGCGGUGCUGGGGCCGCCGGGCAAGCUCUGGCUCGACAACCGCCGCUGGUUCACUGGCAGCCCGUUCGACGUCACGCAUCCCCGGAGAUACGUGGUGUUCUUUUAUUGCAGUGCCAUCGCCUUUGUCGCGUCGCUGGUGGUCAUUCUCCUCCAUCUCCUCCCGGCGAACCUAAUCAGCAGCAACCUGCAGCGAAUCAAGUGGUACGCACUGCGGGUCGCCAUGACCCUGAGCCUGCUUGCUCUGUAUGGCAGAACCUAUCUCCGCGUGUGGACCUCCAUCUACAUAUUCUCUGCCUGCAUCAUCGCAUUGAUACUUUACAUUGCUACUCAAAUCCUUGUAUUCUCUUCAAAGCUUGUGGAGAUUGUGCUCAGCUGUAUGCAAGAAACACCGCAAAAGUGCCCGAAAUUGCUUCGCUCGGAGAAAAAGAAGUACUACCAGCUGAAGGUGGAGCAGAUAAAUCGCCAGCACCAAAACAUAGUGCUCGGGCAAGGCAGUGGCGAUGCCUAUCAGAUUCUGAAGAGAUCUCAAAUGCAUCUCCUUCUGCUCGGGGCUCUGACGGCGAGUGUGACGUAUCAAGCUGGACUGAACGGCGACUUUUGCCAGCAGUACUUCAACGGCGACCAUAUGCCGGACAAAAGAUACCUGGUGUUCUUCUUUGGCAACACCUCCACCUUUGUUGUGUCUCUGGCUAUCUUCCCCAUCCUUAUUUUGAGUAAGGUAUUCAGCACCCAGGAAAUCAAGUAUUACAGCGCGUUGCAGGUCUGCGUGACCCUGGAACUGCUUGGCCUUAUUGGAUCUUAUGUCGCUAGGGAGUGUUUGACAAAAAAACUAUCAGUUUAG
rnacentral:rRNA from 1 species